GGGGGUGUAGCUCAGCUGGUUAGAGCAGCGGACUCUUAAUCCGAAGGUCGUGAGUUCGAAUCUCACCGCCCCUACCA
rnacentral:tRNA from 1 species